AGCAAGUCUCGCGUGUCGCUCACGACGACACGGCCCCCCCCCCCCCCCCCCCCGCUGCAUCCGUGCGUACGUCUUUUCAUUCCAGUUCUCUGGCACUCAUUCACGCAGGCGUUGAUAUCAGUGCCGCACCGCAUCUCGGAGGCCGACCGACGGUCACACACCUGCUGCCCAGCAAAGAGAGGUAACACGGCAUCCUUUGUGGUGCAUCGCUGAGUGCGCGGAUUGUGACGACGUGCGCGAUGGUUUUGUGUGGCGGACUGCGAUGCUUGAGAGAACGCCCCUCACCUCGGCAGCAGCAACGCCACAGUGGCUGCAACGGAUCCGGAGCGCGUAGCGAUCGGCAGCGACGAAGUGCCUCCGAUCCAUGAGGCGCCCGCGGGCAUCGGCAGUUGUCGACUGGCCCACGUAUGCUAUUCGGAGGUGAAUCUUUGCGGGCUGCCGUCGUCCGCAGAUGAGUUCGAUGCGCAGCGCUUGCUCCUCCGCUACCUGGCGGUCACCGGCUGCAUCCUGUGCUGUGCAUCGCGGCUACCGGCACGCAAGGAGGGCUAUGACGCUAGCAAUCACGGCUGCCCAACCGGCUCGCAGCGGAGGUGCCCGCCUGCUACGUCGCCAGCACGGGGGCCCUUCCACGCUGUCCCGCCCGACACCUAAUCCGCUCCCACCCAUGGAAUCGUGCACAUACACGGUGUCCUGCACGUGCUUCGGGUGCGCGGGCAGCUGGACGAGGCGCUGCAGAUGUGGCCUUCGUGCGCGAUGAGGUGCGGCAUGACCUAUUGUGCCGUCGCAGCGCUGCCCUUGGCCGGCUGUGCAGGUCAACGUGACCACCCGCGAGCCCCGGCGUGCUGGGAGCGUCGCGCUUACCGCUAUGCCGCGCAGCGCCUCGCUCGAGGUCGGCCGCGGCAGACGAGGAUGAGGAGUACGUGCUCCUUGGCUAGCGUGACGCCACCGCUGUUGUUGACUCUCAAGACCCAACACGAUUGUAUGAGGACGCCGUCAUGGACUUUCAAGGACGUCCGUUGAGGCCGUGCGACACGUUCUGCGCGCACUGACUGGAAGACGUACUUGGGGCUCUGCGCGGUGCGCUGCCUGGCUGCAAGAGGCAGCUGACUGGCAACGCGCGCUGAGACACAGACCGUCCGGCAGUGCCGGUGCAGGUCCACCCCUUUCUCCCUUGUGCGCAAGUGUGCAGCCGCGUACAUGUGGUGGCCGUGCCCAGAGCCUUGGCGAGCCGCCAGAUCCGGUACGCACCCGCCUUGGGCUCGCCGGGGCUUUGCAGAUGGUCCACCGCGCACUGAGCUGUGCCGUAUGCAGCGAGCAGCACAAGGGUGAGCUUACUGUGUCAUGACGGCAAUUGCGUCUCUGCCGACCACACGCCGUGUACGGCUUCUUGCUGGCCACGCUGCGCAGCGUGGCCAAUGACGGCGGCAGGCGUACUGGAACUGAGGAAGUCGGGGAGGGGGGGCGAUGCCGACCGUGCACAACAAGUGAGAGGGAGGACAUAACGGUGUUGAUGGCGUUGUGAGUGCCAUCCACUUCAAUCGACGGCGACGACCACCGACGCUGUCUUUUUUUGUUUUCUCUUCCUUAUCUCUGAGCUGCCCCCUCCCCAGCGCGGUGUGUGUGCGUACGUGUACGCGAUCAUGUCACGGGCUACAGAGCAUGCAUACGCGUCCACAGACCCAC
rnacentral:misc_RNA from 1 species